CAGCCGCCACGGGAAUACGUAGGGUGCGAGCGUUAAUCGGAAUUACUGGGCGUAAAGCGUGCGCAGGCGGUUGUGUAAGGCAGGUGUGAAAUCCCCGGGCUUAACCUGGGAACUGCGCUUGUGACUGCACAGCUAGAGUAUGGCAGAGGGGGGUGGAAUUCCACGUGUAGCAAUGAAAUGCGUAGAGAUGUGGAGGAACACCGAUGGCGAAGGCAGCCCCCUGGGCCAAUACUGACGCUCAUGCACGAAAGCGUGGGGAGCAAACAGGAUUAGAGACCCGCGUAGUCCCUGUCUCUUAUAC
rnacentral:rRNA from 1 species